GAAAUGCGAUAAGGAAUGUGAAUUGCAGAAUUCCGCAAAUCAUCGAAUCUUUGAACGCACAUUGCGCCCGCCAGUACUCUGGCGGGCAUGCCUGUUCGAGCGUCAUUUCAACCAUCAAGCCUCAGGCUUGUGUUGGGGGCCUGCGGCUGCCGCAGCCCCUGAAAAUCAGUGGCGGGCUCACUAUCAUUCCGAGCGCAGUAGUUAUAUCUCGCUCCGGGCGUGGAGGUGGGCACUUGCCGUAAAACAUUUUCCAAAGGUUGACCACGGAUCAGGUAGGAAUACCCGCUGAACUUCA
rnacentral:misc_RNA from 1 species